UACGGAGGGUGCGAGCGUUGUCCGGAAUCACUGGGCGUAAAGGGCGCGUAGGCGGCGCGGAUAGUCGGCGGUGAAAGCCCGGAGCUCAACUCCGGGUCGGCCGUCGAUACUUCCGGGCUUGAGCACUGUAGAGGCAGAUGGAAUUCCGGGUGUAGCGGUGGAAUGCGUAGAGAUCCGGAAGAACACCGGUGGCGAAGGCGGUCUGCUGGGCAGUUGCCGACGUGAUGCGCGACAGCGUGGGGAGCAAACGAGG
rnacentral:rRNA from 1 species